rnacentral:rRNA from 1 species
AGAGCGAACGCUGGCGGCAGGCCUAACACAUGCAAGUCGAGCGCCCCGCAAGGGGAGCGGCAGACGGGAGAGUAACACGUGGGAACGUACCCUUCAGUUCGGAACAACCCAGGGAAACUUGGGCUAAUACCGAAUACGUCCGUAAGGAGAAAGAUUUAUCGCUGAAGGAUCGGCCCGCGUCUGAUUAGCUUGUUGGUGAGGUAACGGCUCACCAAGGCGACGAUCAGUAGCUGGUCUGAGAGGAUGAUCAGCCUCACUGGGACUGAGACACGGCCCAGACUCCUACGGGAGGCAGCAGUGGGGAAUAUUGGACAAUGGGCGCAAGCCUGAUCCAGCCAUGCCGCGUGGGUGAUGAAGGCCCUAGGGUUGUAAAGCCCUUUCGGCGGGAAGAUAAUGACGGUACCCGCAGAAGAAGCCCGGCUAACUUCGUGCCAGCAGCCGC